rnacentral:lncRNA from 1 species
GCUCUGGUGCUUUUGAAGAUUUUCAAAUAAAACUCAAAGAUUCAUUGUAUGAUUCUCUCAUAUCUCUCUUUUGUGGUAUUUCUGGAUCCUUACCAAGGCAGUGAUGGUAUAUGCCUUGUCUCAAAAUAUGUAGUAUUUGUGGUAUAAAGCAUAGUGGCAUUGCCUUCUCUCUCACCCUACUCUAAUAAGGCUUUAAAAUCUGGAGCUCAUAGGUGGGAGAUAAAAUAUACAUACUUACAAGACAUUUAUUGCAUAGUCAAACCAUGGAUCCAAAGAAACAAAUCAAUAAGCCAAAUCAAGAUGUGCAUG